UUGCGGCCGGGUUACGACAGAGCCUGGGCGCGAUCCCAGAGUCUCUGGUGGCACAGCUGGCACUGCAGAACAGCGUCCUUAACCACUGCGCCACCUGGGAGGCUGGGACAACGAUUUCUUUAAGGUAAUAUGUCAAAUGCACGUAUUCUUAUAAUUUAAAAUGUAUAUAUUUCAUAUAAAUACCUGUUAAUAUUAGUUUAACCUCCAUAGGAUGUCCAUCCUUACACAGUUGCUUACGGGAAUAAUUGAUUGGGAACCGACAGCGUUAGAAGGGGAUUCAGCGGAGCAAAACGCAUGCAGCCAGUCACCAUCACACUAUUUUCGACAUAAGUCCAAUAAUAAAAUCCAUAAGAAUAUUUAUACAUUAAAAACAAAAAGUAUGCACCCUAUAUUAAAAGCUAUUUUUGUGUUUACAGCUGAGAGUCCGCAAAGAAGGAUCCCUGAUGCAUUAUGGACUAUGAACAACUACGGAGCAGAUGGAACAGACAAUAUUCUUCUUGUUUUUUCAAACACACCAAGAACCGAGGCUAUAACUGUCCCAUUGACUCUUCCGGGAACCUCCACCCACUCGAGCCAUAUUCGAGACUCCAAGACCCAACGCACAACUCAGGCGCAAGUGCACUGCGCAGAAUCACCCCAGCCCGGAAACUUGCUGCUUCAAGAAAUGGCGCUAUAUGGACACGACGAUACAACGAUACACGCCAGGUACAAUCUGGAACGCAGGGUGAAAAAAGUCUAGAGCCCAAGGCAUCCGCGAUUCGUCAGAACAGUCAGCGUCAAAAAAGCAGAGACUCCUCCCCAGUGUAUAACGGCACAGAAGACCAUACACAACGAGAGCACAUGGAGGAUUUCGGCGCACCAGACAUUCACAAUAAAACACCAGAUGGAUGAUUUCAACGUUUUAAAUGACAUUUCAGAGGCAGACGACUUGAUGUUGUGCGAGGCGGCCAGCCUUCUUGAUUCAGCCAGCCUUCUUGAUUCAGCCAAUUCUUUGGUAGAAACCUGAAAUACAACAAGCUAAGUUUGUCACUGCCUUUUACGGGGCUCUAAAAUCCAGAAAGGUUUUACCCCACAAAGGAAUGGUGGCUUUACUCAAGAGGCAAUACAGUCAAGCUUUAUCCUUCUGGCAUAGAACAAUGUCACAU